GAAUCCCCAGGAACCGGAAAACUACGUCGCGGCUUCUGGGGAAUACGAAACGUGUAAAAUCUCGUGAGGGUAGAACCGGUUUUCCCUGCGUUACAUAAUCUAUUAUGAAGACACGUGGCUGAAGGUUGUCACGUUGUUGCGUAUUCGCAGCUUUUGGGACACACGUGGUGAGAGAUCUCUCGAUAGAAACACCAACACCUGUUCAGCUUAAAAGCGGGUUGGGUUUAAAAAAGCAAGGGGGACGUACGCGGCCAGACGUGGGGCCGGUCUACAGUGAAAGUGGAGGAAGUGGGCGCAUGAAUGCCACGUGGCAAUGUCGAUGAAGGAGCAGAGCAAAUGACAAGCUUUGUGAGAGUGGGAAUCUCUUCGGCUAAGAAUGAGUUUAGAUAGAUGAUUGGGUGCAGUGCGGUGCGUUUAGUUUAUUUUUUGUCUCACGCUACAGUAUUGCUAUAGUGUUUAAUCUCACAGCCACCGCUGUUUUAACAUUAACUAUAUGUAAACGUAUCGUCUAUCCAAACUCACUCUAAGGUAUUAAGCUUUCCAUACUUGUCUUUCUUUCUUUUUCUUUUUA
rnacentral:lncRNA from 1 species